UGCAAAACUCCCUUAAACCAUCGCGAACGAACCUCUGAACAGUUGCUUCGGCAGGCGGGCACCCCCCCGGGGGAGCCGCCAAACGCCUGCCGGAGGUACCUAAACUAUUGUUUUUAACGGCCUCUCUGAUUAUUUGUACUUAAUAAGUCAAAACUUUCAACAACGGAUCUCUUGGUUCUGGCAUCGAUGAAGAACGCAGCGAAAUGCGAUAAGUAAUGUGAAUUGCAGAAUUCAGUGAAUCAUCGAAUCUUUGAACGCACAUUGCGCCCGCCAGUAUUCUGGCGGGCAUGCCUGUCCGAGCGUCAUUUCAACCAUCAAGCCCCGUGCUUGUGUUGGGGACCUGCGUCCGACCGCAGGCCCUGAAAACCAGUGGCGGGCUCGCUGUCCACACCGAGCGUAGUAACUAACCUCGCUCCGGAGUGGCGCGGGCGCCUGCCGUAAAACCCCCAAUUUAUCAAGGUUGACCUCGGAUCAAGGUAGGAAUACCCGCUGAACUUAAGCA
rnacentral:rRNA from 1 species